rnacentral:lncRNA from 1 species
CUUACAGUCUUUCUACCUCAACUUGGGUAUCCACGUCAGAGGAAACCACCACUAAAUCUGGCACCUCGAUGAUCUAUUAUUGGCAGCAUGGAGCGAAGGCCUGAAUCAGCACUCCGAUGUGAGGGCUCUGACCAUCCAACCUGGUCACUCCAGGUCAGGCUGAGAGAGGCAUGUGUGAGCUGCUUAAAACAGGAAUCUUUAAGGGGUUGAUCAAAAGGCGGUUUAGACUUAGGACAGUCAAAAAAUGGCUCCAUGCUACAACUGUAAAUCUAGCUCACUUCUACCUGGAGUCUAAAAUCUCAGCAGCA